rnacentral:piRNA from 1 species
UUUAAUCCCAGCACUUAGGAGGCAGA